rnacentral:rRNA from 1 species
UACGUAGGGUGCGAGCGUUGUCCGGAAUUACUGGGCGUAAAGAGCUCGUAGGUGGUUUGUCGCGUUGUCCGUGAAAACUCACAACUCAAUUGUGGGCGUGCGGGCGAUACGGGCAGACUGGAGUACUGCAGGGGAGACUGGAAUUCCUGGUGUAGCGGUGAAAUACGCAGAUAUCAGGAGGAACACCGGUGGCGAAGGCGGGUCUCUGGGCCGAUACUGACGCUGAGGAGCGAAAGCGUGGGGAGCGAACAGG